AAAGCUGUGUGUCUAUGAUGUAUUUGUAUGUCUGACUCAACCAUGAGGUCAACAAACAGUUCGUCACUACCACUGAGACCACAGAUUU